GCCCCCGCCCCGGCCGCCCCCGGGCCCCGCGGGCCGCCGCCCCCCGCACUACAUUUCCCGGCAGCGCGGGGCGGGGACCGGCCAGGCCCGGCUGGGGCUGCUGGGAGGGCCGCUGCCUCGCCUGCUGGCUUUCCGGAGCGUCAGGAAGGGAAGGGUUGUUUGGGGUUUUUUUAUUGUAGGUGCGAGCCGAAAGGGGAAAGCUCCGCAGCCUUAAAAAAGCAUCACCGCUUCCUCAGUUCCCAGUGGGACCGUUUUCAGAUGUCCAGAAAUUUUCCAGUGGAGCCACAUGUCCCCAUAUGGCAAAUUUAAGCCCAGUGAGAAGAGUUUUAGUUACUGUUGUCAUAUGUUGAGCGUGAUCCACAGAUUAAACAAUCCAUGGAUCGCAGCUUAAAAUGCAACAGGCCAACAAUGCAGAAUGUAUCAGUCUUUAUUUUCUUCACAGACAUUAGCAGCAUUAUCUCAGCUUUUGAGAAAUACACAGCAAGCCAAAAUCAACCAUCACAAGACAUGGCAAGUAUAUUCUGGCACUCACAAAGUUUUACUGAGGGACAGAGGGUACUUUCUGUCUUAUUGAGAGGCACUUAUAUGAGAACAGGCAAAAAUCCUGAUAAUAAUCACAUCAUCUGAUACCCUAGAAAGUUUGGUGCAGAGCUGCAAACCCCCAUCUCCUUUAGGCCUAUAAAUAACAAAGUAACAGAGGAGCAAAGGAGCAAUUUUUUUUUCAUGGUAGUUUACAGUGAUACAGGUAUGGAAUGAAGCUGACCACUCACAGAAUUAGUGGCCACACGUUACAGAGUGCAUUAAAAUACACUAGAAACUCUGCACCUCACUCUCCCCAGACUUUUUAACAUCUAAAACAAGACAAAAAGCAACAGAAUUUGAAAAGAAGGAAAAGCAGAGAAAUGAAGAUUUGGUCUGGCACAGAGCCAUUAUUCAUUUCCUUCUCCCCCUGUCAUUUAUCUUCACUUCUAGCCCCUACCUGCAUGUAAGGCUGCCCUGGCUUUCCAUCAGGGUACAGAUCUGCAAGCCCAGAUGCCAUAUUCAUGACUGCCACUCUUGGAGUCUUCCCUCCAGCACAUGGAGGUUUAAAUUAGUUCUUUGGUUAUACCUUGCUGUUUCCAUUCUGUGUUCUCCUCCAAUCCCUACUUAUUCCUAUACUAGAACACACUCUCCAACCCACUGCUUUCCUAUAUAUUCAAUUAAUAAAUUAAAAACCUUGCUAACUUUUC